UUGUCGACGGAUAACUUGCCCACUACCGCUAUGAAUUGCUCAGUGGCUUCUUCAGAGAUUUCUGACGAGGGCAGCACAAUGGGAGAAACAGAACAAAGUUUUUACACAGACAAUGAAUGGCUGGGUACAUACAUUGAAGAUAUUGAUGAGUUUGGAUCAUGUGUUGACUCAGAUGAUCACAGCAUUCCAAAGGAGAGACGUCCUAAUUUAGAACAAUAUAUCGAACAACAGCUCCGCACACUCUCCUCUAUCCACCAUCUUCAGGGUUUCGUUGAAUCUUUUCAAUAACCACUUGCUCAUCAUAGCUCGUGGAACGUGACAAACGAAUACAGUCAACGUCUAGAAAAGCGAGCAGACGAGCAAAUCAAGUGCGUUAUUGAGCAUGUCAAAGAGCGGGAGAAAGCACAACAAGCGGAAAGCGAAACAUUACAGACAGGCGAUGAACGAGAAACGAAGCAGUCUCUUCAACGAUGAACAGAUGAUCACAACAUUCCAAAGGAGAGACGUCGUCAUUUAGAGCAAUACAUGUAACAACAGAGUCUUCUCACACACUCCACUCUCCACCAUCCUCAGGUUUUUGUUGAAUCAUUUCAACAACCACAAGCUCAUCAUAGAUCGUGGAAUACGACAAACGAAUGCAGUCAACGUCUAGAAAAGUGAGAACAUGAACCACCCAAGUGCUACUAGAAACGGUUAGCGAGCAUCUUAAAGAGUGGGAGGAAGCACAACAAGCGGAUAACGAAACAUUACAGACAGGCAAUGAAGGAGGAACAAGGCAGUCUGUUCCAUGAUGAACAGAUAAUCACAACGUUCCAAAGGAGUGACAGCCUCAUUUGCAGCAAUGCAUCGAACAACAGCUUUUCCUCACACCACACUCUCUUCUAUCCACCGUCCUCACACUUUCGUUGAAUUGCUUCAAUGACCACAAGCUUAUCAUGGAUCAUGGAAUGCGACAAACGAAUGCAGUCAACAUCUAGAAAAGUAACAAGACGAUCCACCCAAAUGCUACUACAAACAGUUAUUGAGUAUGUCAAAGAGUGCGAGGAAGCACGACAAGGGGAAACCGUAACAAUACAGACAUGCGAUGAAAGUGGUCUCUUCGAUAAUGAACAGCUGCCAUACCUUCAGUGACUGUGUUCAACAAGAAUGGAUUGACGAUCAAAUUUUUUUGUUCUAAAAAAUUUCUAACAAUCCCAACAACAUAGUCGAAAUCCUAAUGUUUGCUCUUAACUCUCAACCUUUUGCAAUGACGGACUUUCUAUUUCAAGUAGCAGUACCAAAGACAUUCCAGUUAAACAACCAGUCACUUUGCGAAUGUAAUUCCACCUUUCAAUUCUGGCAGUGUGAUGCAAAUCAUUUGCGUUGAGCAUCCUCAACAGAUGGUCACAACGUUCCAAAGGAGCGACAUCUUCAUUCAGAGUAAUACAUCGAAUAACAGCUUCUCCUCACACUCAUUUCUAUCCACCAUCCUCACACCUUCGUUGAAUUGUUUCAAUGACCACACAGCUCAUCAUAGAUCAUGCAAUGCGACAAACAAAAUCAUUGAACGUCUAGAAAAAUGACAAGAUGAGCCGCCCAAGUGCUACUGCAAACUGUUAUUGAGCAUGUCGAAGAGUGGGAGGAAACACAACAAGAGGAAAGCGAAACAAUACAGACAAGCAAUGAAAGUGGUCUCUUCGAUAAUGAACAGCUGCCAUACCUUCAGUGACUGUGUUCAACAAGAAUGGAUUGACCAUCAAAUUUUUUCAUUCUCAAAAAUUUCCAACAAUAGCAACAACAUAGUCAAGAUCUCGAUGUUUGCUCAUAACUCCCAACCUGUAGCAAUGAUGGACUUUCUAUUUCAAUUAGCAGUACCAAAGGUAUUCCUUACAAUAAGAAAGUGGGAAUGACACCUGUCGAUCUGAGUGUGUCUAUUCAAAAUCAUUACACGUAAACAACCAGUCACUCCGUGAAUGUAAUUUCACCUUCAGAUUCUGGCAGUGUGAUGCAAAUCAUUUACGUUGAGUAUCGCCAACAGAUGACCACAACGUUCCAAAGGAGCGACAUCCUCAUUUCGGAGUAAUACAUCGAACAACAGCUUCUCCUCACACUCUUCAAUCAACCAUCCUCACACUUUCGUUGAAUUGUUUCAAUGAUCACAAGCUCGUCAUAGGUCAUGGAAUGCAACAAACGAAAUCAGUGAAUGUCUAGGAAAGUGACAAGACGAGCCACCCAAGUGCUACUACAAACAGUUAUUGAGCAUGUCGAAGAGUGGGAGGAAGCACAGCAAGAGGAAACCGAAACAAUGCAGUCAAGCAACGAAAGUGGUCUCUUCGAUAAUGAACAGAUGACCACAACGUUCCAAAGGAGCGACAUCCUCAUUUCGGAGUAAUACAUCGAACAACAGCUUCUCCUCACCCUCUUCAAUCAACCAUCCUCACACUUUCGUUGAAUUGUUUCAAUGAUCACAAGCUCGUCAUAGGUCAUGGAAUGCAACAAACGAAAUCAGUGAAUGUCUAGAAAAGUGACAAGACGAGCCACCCAAGUGCUACUACAAACAGUUAUUGAGCAUGUCGAAGAGUGGGAGGAAGCACAGCAAGAGGAAACCGAAACAAUGCAGACAAACAACAAAAGUGGUCUCUUCGAUAAUGAACAGAAAUUUCCAACAAUCUCAACAACAUAGUCGAGAUCUCGAUGUUUGCCCAUAACUCCAAAUCUCCAGCAAUGACGGAAUUUCUAUUUCAAGUAGCAGUACCAAUGGCAUUCCAGUUAAACGUCCAUUCACCAUCCGGGAAAGUAAUUCCGUCUUCUAAUUCUGUCAGCAUGAUACAAAUUAUCACGUUGCGCAUCCUCAACAGGUUGCAGUAGGCGGAGUCACGCAGUACUUUCCCUGAGUACUGACUUUCGAGUAACAUAGCAAACAGAGAUUAAGCAAACCUGCGACAAAACAAGCAACAGUUGAGAAUGAGACUGGAUUUCAUACAGUGUGGAUAGAUCCCCUGUGACUGAAAAAGGUGAGAUUGGCGAAUUUCCACCAGCAGUUUCUUAGUAAUGUGAGUAAGAAGAGGGGCUGUUAGUUUGUGCUGCUAGUCGAUCAUCUUGGUUGUUUUGUGACUGUUAUCGUGCUUUCUGGUCAAGUUGCUGUAGAUUAUUGGGUAGAUGACACUUGUAGCUUGGCAGCUGUUGUCUAUGACUUGCUUUCAAAUUCUAUUUUGCUACAGUGCCACUGUGGAAAUAGAAG